rnacentral:lncRNA from 1 species
AAAUGUUCAUUGCAAUGAGACUUUGGUCUGGAUUGAGGCCUCUGGCUUCUGCUACACGAUCAAUACUGGAUCUUCACUGGGACUCUUCUCUGACAUCCUGUUGUUGCUCUGUGUCAUGGAGAUCCUGCAGCUUUGGAUCUGCAGGGCCUGCCCCUUCACACACUCCAGCAGUUCAUAGAUGGGGUAGAUGUUAAGAGGGACCAAGUCAAGCCCUGGAUCUGGACUUGGGUGGAAGCUGAGUUGGUCAGCCUGCCAGCUUUCCUGCACCUGGGCCACCAGGACCAGCUCUCCAACUUUGCUCAAAGGGCAGGGGCAUUGCUCCUGCUCUCAUGCCCUUGGGACUCACUCUACUGUGCUCAUGCCACCACAGCCAGCUUGAUUGCGCUGCCCAUGUGAGGUGCAUGGCCUUGUUUCCUGAGUGACAAAGCUCUCUCCUGCUCUCCUGCUCACCCACCCUCAGGGCCAAUGACAUGGCUUCUGAGGAAAGAGUGAUGGAAAUAGCUAACCUCCCAUAAGAAAGGAAAGAAAGGGAGAAAAGUAGCAAGCCGAUUGGUCCAAAGACUGGAAGGAGGGAUUCUGUCUGUGUUCCUUUGUGUUGGUGGAGUUUAAACGCAGCCACAAAGCUAUACAAGGAGCAAGUCAUACUGUUUCUCAAGCGUGUCCUUCAGGAAGAUCUGAGAGGCGCCUUCGAGAAAUCACAUCAUUAGAAGGCAUCUGAGAGACUUCAGAGUGCUAAUAUUUGGGUUAAGAUGUAAAAAAAUGAUCAGGAAUAAUUCAGUCAAGAUUUCUAUAAAGCAACUUCAAGACAACAAGCUGCCUAAAAUUAAAUUACAUUCCCAGGUCAAUAAAUAAAAGCAAGGACUUCUUAAAGUGCAAUGACCUUUGAGGAGGCACAGAAGAUAAAAAAAGAGCAUCCUAAUUUUUAAAGCUGGCUAGAAGUUAUGUCUCAAGUGCAUUUCACAACCUGAAUCUUCAGUGAUCUCAAGAACAGGAUCAUAAGUGGGGAAAACUAUCAUCUAGAGAGCCUACAGCAUGAACCAGCUUGCCUGUGAAUUAGACAGCUCAGAGGUGAUGAGGAUGGAACCCAGAGACUCAUGCGGGCUAGGUUUGACAUCUGUCUCAGAAGACUGGCUGCCACCCAUCUAGUUUCCAUUUUAACCUUCACUUUCACCUCUGUGUCUUCAACCAUGCAGUGAGAUGACAAAUAAACACCAUGACAAAGCUAUGACUUAUGGAAGUGACUGUGAAUGGCCAAGUCCCUCCAGGUAGGGAGCAGUCGUUCUUUUCUACUUUAUUCCAUUUUAAAGGACUCUAAAAGGCAAUCCUGACAUGAUGUCCUGGCCCCAAACCAAAAGCAAUGGAGGAAGACAGGC